UGCGGGGUGGAGCAGCCUGGUAGCUCGUCGGGCUCAUAACCCGAAGGUCGCGGGUUCGAAUCCCGCCCCCGCUA
rnacentral:tRNA from 1 species